rnacentral:rRNA from 1 species
GAUGAACGCUGGCGGCGUGCCUAAUACAUGCGAGUCGAGCGAACAGACGAGGAGCUUGCUCCUCUGACGUUAGCGGCGGACGGGUGAGUAACACGUGGAUAACCUACCUAUAAGACUGGGAUAACUUCGGGAAACCGGAGCUAAUACCGGAUAAUAUAUUGAACCGCAUGGUUCAAUAGUGAAAGACGGUUUUGCUGUCACUUAUAGAUGGAUCCGCGCCGCAUUAGCUAGUUGGUAAGGUAACGGCUUACCAAGGCAACGAUGCGUAGCCGACCUGAGAGGGUGAUCGGCCACACUGGAACUGAGACACGGUCCAGACUCCUACGGGAGGCAGCAGUAGGGAGUCUUCCGCAAUGGGCGAAAGCCUGACGGAGCAACGCCGCGUGAGUGAUGAAGGUCUUCGGAUCGUAAAACUCUGUUAUUAGGGAAGAACAAAUGUGUAAGUAACUAUGCACGUCUUGACGGUACCUAAUCAGAAAGCCACGGCUAACUACGUG